CCUACGGGUGGCAGCAGUAGGGAAUUUUGCGCAAUGGGCGAAAGCCUGACGCAGCAACGCCGCGUGAUCGAGACGCCCUUCGGGGUGUAAAGAUCUGUCAGUGGGGACGAAACUUGACGGUACCCACAGAGGAAGCACCGGCUAACUCCGUGCCAGCAGCCGCGGUAAUACGGGGGGUGCAAGCGUUGUCCGGAAUCAUUGGGCGUAAAGAGUUCGUAGGCGGCACGUAAAGUCUGGUGUUAAAGGCAGAGGCUCAACUUCUGUACGGCACUGGAUACUUGCGAGCUAGAAUGCGGUAGAGGUAAAGGGAAUUCCUGGUGUAGCGGUGAAAUGCUUAGAUAUCAGGAGGAACAUCGGUGGCGUAAGCGCUUUACUGGGCCGUAAUUGACGCUGAGGAACGAAAGCCAGGGUAGCAAAUGGGAUUAGAUACCC
rnacentral:rRNA from 1 species